GAUAAACGCUGGCGGCGUGCAUAACACAUGCAAGUCGAACGAUGAAGAUUAAACGAUUUCUUCGGAAUGAACUUAAUUGGUUUAGUGGCGGCCGGGUGAGUAACGCUUGAGUAACCUGCCUUGUCCAAGGGGAUAGCCGUUGGAAACGACGAAUAAUACCCUAUGACAUCAAAUAUUCCCAUGAUAAUUUGAUAAAAGAUUUAUCGGUAUAAGAUGGACUCGCGUCUGAUUAGCUAGUUGGUAGAGUAAAAGCCUACCAAGGCAACGAUCAGUAGCCGGCUUGAGAGAGUGUACGGCCACAUUGGGACUGAGACACGGCCCAGACUCCUACGGGAGGCAGCAGUGGGGAAUUUUGCACAAUGGGGGAAACCCUGAUGCAGCGACGCCGCGUGAUUUAGAAGGCCUUCGGGUUGUAAAAAUCUUUUGUAUGGGAAGAAAAUGACAGUACCAUACGAAUAAGGACCGGCUAAUUACGUG
rnacentral:rRNA from 1 species